GAUGAACGCUGGCGGCGUGCCUAAUACAUGCAAGUCGAGCGAACAGACGAGGAGCUUGCUCCUCUGACGUUAGCGGCGGACGGGUGAGUAACACGUGGAUAACCUACCUAUAAGACUGGGAUAACUUCGGGAAACCGAAGCUAAUACCGGAUAAUAUAUUGAACCGCAUGGUUCAAUAGUGAAAGACGGUUUUGCUGUCACUUAUAGAUGGAUCCGCGCCGCAUUAGCUAGUUGGUAAGGUAACGGCUUACCAAGGCAACGAUGCGUAGCCGACCUGAGAGGGUGAUCGGCCACACUGGAACUGAGACACGGUCCAGACUCCUACGGGAGGCAGCAGUAGGGGAUCUUCCGCAAAGGGCGAAAGCCUGACGGAGCAACGCCGCGUGAGUGAUGAAGGUCUUCGGAUCGUAAAACUCUGUUAUUAGGGAAGAACAAAUGUGUAAGUAACUAUGCACGUCUUGACGGUACCUAAUCAGAAAGCCACGGCUAACUACGUG
rnacentral:rRNA from 1 species